rnacentral:rRNA from 1 species
AUUGAACGCUGGCGGCAUGCCUUACACAUGCAAGUCGGAACGGCAGCACGGGGCAACCUGGUGGCGAGUGGCGAACGGGUGAGUAAUGCAUCGGAACGUGCCAUUGAGUGGGGGAUAACGUAGCGAAAGUUGCGCCAAUACCGCAUAUUCUGUGAGCAGGAAAGCAGGGGACCGCAAGGCCUUGCGCUCUUUGAGCGGCCGAUGUCAGAUUAGCUAGUUGGUGAGGUAACGGCUUACCAAGGCGACGAUCUGUAGCGGGUCUGAGAGGAUGAUCCGCCACACUGGAACUGAGACACGGUCCAGACUCCUACGGGAGGCAGCAGUGGGGAAUUUUGGACAAUGGGCGCAAGCCUGAUCCAGCCAUGCCGCGUGAGUGAA